GACGAACGCUGGCGGCGUGCUUAACACAUGCAAGUCGAACGGAAAGGCCCUGCUUUUGUGGGGUGCUCGAGUGGCGAACGGGUGAGUAACACGUGAGUAACCUGCCCUUGACUUUGGGAUAACUUCAGGAAACUGGGGCUAAUACCGGAUAGGAGCUCCUGCUGCAUGGUGGGGGUUGGAAAGUUUCGGCGGUUGGGGAUGGACUCGCGGCUUAUCAGCUUGUUGGUGGGGUAGUGGCUUACCAAGGCUUUGACGGGUAGCCGGCCUGAGAGGGUGACCGGCAACAUUGGGACUGAGAUACGGCCCAGACUCCUACGGGAGGCAGCAGUGGGGAAUAUUGCACAAUGGGCGGAAGCCUGAUGCAGCAACGCCGCGUGCGGGAUGACGGCCUUCGGGGUGUAAACCGCUUUCGCCUGUGACGAAGCGUGAGUGACGGUAAUGGGUAAAGAAGCACCGGCUAACUACGUG
rnacentral:rRNA from 1 species